rnacentral:rRNA from 1 species
AGAGUUUGAUCCUGGCUCAGGAUGAACGCUAGCUACAGGCUUAACACAUGCAAGUCGAGGGGAAACGAUAGAGAAAGCUUGCUUUUUCUAGGCGUCGACCGGCGCACGGGUGAGUAACGCGUAUCCAACCUGCCCACCACUUGGGGAUAACCUUGCGAAAGUAAGACUAAUACCCAAUGACGUCUCUAGAAGACAUCUGAAAGGGAUUAAAGAUUUAUCGGUGAUGGAUGGGGAUGCGUCUGAUUAGCUUGUUGGCGGGGUAACGGCCCACCAAGGCAAUGAUCAGUAGGGGUUCUGAGAGGAAGGUCCCCCAUAUUGGAACUGAGACACGGUCCAAACUCCUACGGGAGGCAGCAGUGAGGAAUAUUGGUCAAUGGGCGAGAGCCUGAACCAGCCAAGUAGCGUGCAGGAUGACGGCCCUAUGGGUUGUAAACUGCUUUUAUAAGGGAAUAAAGUGAGCCUCGUGAGGCUUUUUGCAUGUACCUUAUGAAUAAGGACCGGCUAAUUCCGUGCCAGCAGCCGCGGUAACACGGAAGGUCCGGGCGUUAUCCGGAUUUAUUGGGUUUAAAGGGAGCGUAGGCCGGAGAUUAAGCGUGUUGUGAAAUGUAGAUGCUCAACAUCUGCACUGCAGCGCGAACUGGUUUCCUUGAGUACGCACAAAGUGGGCGGAAUUCGUGGUGUAGCGGUGAAAUGCUUAGAUAUCACGAAGAACUCCGAUUGCGAAGGCAGCUCACUGGAGCGCAACUGACGCUGAAGCUCGAAAGUGCGGGUAUCGAACAGGAUUAGAUACCCUGGUAGUCCGCACGGUAAACGAUGGAUGCCCGCUGUUGGUCUGAAUAGGUCAGCGGCCAAGCGAAAGCAUUAAGCAUCCCACCUGGGGA